AUAUUUACCUGGCAGGGGAGGUACCAUGAGCACAAAGAUGUUUUUCCCAGGGUAUGGCUUCUUCUUUGCAAACCAGAUGAUCCUCACUAUUUCUCCGAAUGCAAGAAACUUAACUGCACAGUUUGUAGCAGUAGUGGACGAUGAAUUCAUUUUCUCUAC